rnacentral:rRNA from 1 species
AGUGAACGCUGGCGGUAGGCCUAACACAUGCAAGUCGAACGGCAGCACAGUAAGAGCUUGCUCUUACGGGUGGCGAGUGGCGGACGGGUGAGGAAUACAUCGGAAUCUACUUUUUCGUGGGGGAUAACGUAGGGAAACUUACGCUAAUACCGCAUACGACCUACGGGUGAAAGCAGUGGAUCUUCUGACCUUGCGCGAUUGAAUGAGCCGAUGUCGGAUUAGCUAGUUGGCGGGGUAAAUGCCCACCAAGGCGGCGAUCCGUAGCUGGUCUGAGAGGAUGAUCAGCCACACUGGAGCUGAGACAGGGUCCAGACUCCUGAGGGAGGCAGCAGUGGGGAAUAUUGGACAGUGGGGGCAAGCCUGAUCCAGCCAUACCGAGUGGGUGAAGAAGGCCUUCGGGUUGUAAAGACCUUUUGUUGGGAAAGAAAAGCAGCAGGUUAAUACCCCGCGGUUCUGACGGUACCCAAAGAAUAAGCACCGGCUAACUUCGUG